CGCCAUUUAAAGUGGUACGCGAGCUGGGUUUAGAACGUCGUGAGACAGUUCGGUCCCUAUCUGCCGUGGGCGUAGGAAAAUUGAGAGGAGCUGCUCCUAGUACGAGAGGACCGGAGUGGACAAACCUCUGGUGUACCGGUUGUGACGCCAGUUGCAUUGCCGGGUAGCUAAGUUUGGACGGGAUAACCGCUGAAAGCAUCUAAGCGGGAAGCCUCCCUCGAGAUGAGUUUUCCCAUGAAGCCCGUUGAAGACUACGACGUUGAUAGGCGAGGUGUGGAAGCGCAGUAAUGUGUGAAGCUAACUCGUACUAAUUGGCUGAUUGUCUUGACCAUAUAACCUGAGUAGGUU
rnacentral:rRNA from 2 species